rnacentral:lncRNA from 1 species
CAAAAAGAAAAGAGGCAGUGGCAGAGCCCCUAUAUCUCCCUAAAAACAAAGAGGGAAUAUUACGAAAUCUUCCUUUGACAUCUCCCCGAACCUAACGUUUUUCCGUUUUGACAUUUUACCAAAUCUUCAUUAUCUCAACACAAAAGAAAAGGACACACACAUAUAAAAACGAGGAGAAAUGAGAAGUAAUUGAUUAAAGUAAAAGGAAAUGAGUCAAUUCAUAUGAGCAAUCUCACUAUCGGCAUCAAUUCUGGGCAGCAACCCUUUUCGCCAUUUCCCCAAUUCCAAAAGUCCAGCAAAACAACCUUCAAAACCCCUGUUUCAGUCCCAAAUCAAGCUCAAAAAUAGCCGAAAACACCAUCAAAAUCAACCGGAGUUCAACUUCCGCAUUUUGGUUUAGUUUGAGAUUUUCGGCGAAUUUCGAUGCUGCCGAAGAGGUGAUUUUGAGGUCGUUUGAGGCGCCGAGGUCAUUUGGAAAAUAUUCCGGUCAAGAGUUGUCUAAUUUUGGAGUUGAUUGUAACUUUGGCUCAAAUUCAAUACAAAGGUUCGGUAUUUAAACAACUUCGUCUGUUUCUUUUUCAUCAACUACAAUGAUAGCUGCUACUUUGGUUCCUUUUCUCUUUGCUUACAUGUUUCAACUUCAAUUUCGCAUUGCCAUAUAGUUAGUUAGUUUCAAUACUUCAGAUUUUUGAUUGGGUGUAAGACAUCUUCAGGCCUAUGUAAUUUAGGACAAAAAGGAUUUUUCUAAUCAUUUGUUGAUAUUGGUUGCAUUUUAUAUAGUUGAAACAUCGACAUUACAUUAUUAUAAUUGUAGUGGAUCAUGAUGUUGGUUGUUA